UUAGAAUCUUUAAAAUAUUGCAUGAUGAGUUUCUGUAUGAUGAGAGUUUAAAUUCCUACCACAGCCAUAUAUACAUGCUUGCUAGACUUUCAGCUACACAUUUACUUUUUACUGCUUAUGAGCAUUGAGUGUGGUCAAGCUGUGUAGACCCUUAGGAGUUUGUCAUGUGGUUCAAUCAAGAUUCACUUGCACGUUCACUCAUACAUGCUGCUUCUACUCUGGAAGUACCAUCCACAUAUAUCCAUCCAUUUUCAUCUCCAGAACCAUCCAAAAAUAUUCUACUCCUAAUCCGGGAGAGAAUGGCCAAAAAUAUUUCUGUUUUUCCUUGUGAAAUAAAUGCUCAAGUUAUCUUGUUACUACCACUUGCUAUAUUAUCUCAAGAGAUGAGUGCUCUAAAAAAAGAAUAAAAAGAGAGAUACGAGGAAAUAAAAAGGGGCAAGUUCCCGGAACCUCGAAAGGAAAGAAAAAGUGAGACGAGAGGUAAAAAUGGACAAGUGUCCGACAGUAUAAUUAGGGGUACAAGAUACCCACCUGAGAGAAAAGAAAAAAAGAAAUAUAGAGCUUCUCAUUCUCCUUACAAAGUUUCAAAAGAGCAAGAAAGGUAUGUAUCCCCUCAAAGAGCAAAAGUAGAAUUAGACUUUCACCAUUGUUAUCACCAUCAUCACCAUACACCAUUCAUUCGCCACACAUGCACAUCUUGAUCUGACUUAUUGAUUUGUUUCUUUGGAUCCAUGGUUUGACUAUAAAAUAAAUGUCUUGUAAGUAUGUAUAUUUUAUCUCCCACCUAUGAGCUCUAGAUAUUAAAGCCUUAUUAGAGUAGGGUGAGAGAGAAGGCAAUGUGACUAUGCCUUAUACCACAAAUAAUACAUAUUUUGAGAGAAUGCAUAUACCAUCACUGCCUUGGUAAGGAUCUAGAAAUACCACAAAAGAGAGAUCUGAGAGAAUCAUACAAGGAAUCUCUGAGUUUUAUUUGAAAAUCUGCAAAAACUCCAGAGCUAUAGCUGAUCAAGAAUAAGAGACAUGGC
rnacentral:lncRNA from 1 species